UACGUAGGGUGCUAGCGUUGUCCGGAAUCAUUGGGCGUAAAGAGCGUGUAGGCUGCCCGGUAAGUCCGCUGUGAAAGUCGGGGGCUCAACCCUCGAAUGCCGGUGGAUACUGUCGGGCUAGAGUGCGGAAGAGGCGAGUGGAAUUCCUGGUGUAGCGGUGAAAUGCGCAGAUAUCAGGAGGAGCACCAGCGGCGAAGGCGGGUAGCUGGGCCAACACUGACGCUGAUGCGCGAAAGCCAGGGGAGCAAACGGG
rnacentral:rRNA from 1 species